CGGCGGACUCGCCCCAGCGUCCGGCCGGCCCCGCGCCGGCCGCGGCCUGGAUCCAGGCGGCCGCCGGAGACCCCCAAACUCUGUAUUCUCAGUAUCUUCUGAAUCCGCCGCAAGGCAAAACAAAUGAAUCAAAACUUUCAACAACGGAUCUCUUGGUUCUGGCAUCGAUGAAGAACGCAGCGAAAUGCGAUAAGUAAUGUGAAUUGCAGAAUUCAGUGAAUCAUCGAAUCUUUGAACGCACAUUGCGCCCGCCAGCAUUCUGGCGGGCAUGCCUGUUCGAGCGUCAUUUCAACCCUCGACUUCCCUUUGGGGAAAUCGGCGUUGGGGACCGGCCGUAUACCGCCGGCCCCGAAAUGAAGUGGCGGCCCGUCCGCGGCGACCUCUGCGUAGUAAUCCAACUCGCACCGGAACCCCGACGUGGCCACGCCGUAAAACCCCCGACUUCUGAACGUUGACCUCGGAUCAGGUAGGAAUACCCGCUGAACUUAAGCAUAUCAAUAAGCGGAGGAAAAGAAACCAACAGGGAUUGCCCCAGUAACGGCGAGUGAAGCGGCAACAGCUCAAAUUUGAAAUCUGGCCUCCGGGUCCGAGUUGUAAUUUGUAGAGGAUGCUUUUGGCGAGGUGCCUUCCGAGUUCCCUGGAACGGGACGCCAUAGAGGGUGAGAGCCCCGUCUGGUCGGACACCGAGCCUCUGUAAAGCUCCUUCGACGAGUCGAGUAGUUUGGGAAUGCUGCUCAAAAUGGGAGGUAUAUGUCUUCUAAAGCUAAAUAUUGGCCAGAGACCGAUAGCGCACAAGUAGAGUGAUCGAAAGAUGAAAAGCACUUUGAAAAGAGGGUUAAAAAGUACGUGAAAUUGUUGAAAGGGAAGCGCCUAUGACCAGACUUGGGCCCGGUGAAUCAUCCAGCGUUCUCGCUGGUGCACUUUGCCGGGCACAGGCCAGCAUCAGUUUGGCGCGGGGGAAAAAGGUUUUGGGAAUGUGGCUCCCUCGGG
rnacentral:rRNA from 1 species